UAGGGAAUAUUGGGCAAUGGGCGAAAGCCUGACCCAGCAACGCCGCGUGCACGAUGAAGGCCUUCGGGUCGUAAAGUGCUUUUCUGAGGAAUGAGAAAGGACAGUACCUCAGGAAUAAGCCUCGGCUAACUACGUGCCAGCAGCCGCGGUAAAACGUAGGAGGCGAGCGUUAUCCGGAUUUACUGGGCGUAAAGCGUGUGUAGGCGGUACGGCAAGUUGGAUGUGAAAGCUCCUGGCUUAACUAGGAGAGGUCGUUCAAUACUACCGAACUUGAGGGCAUCAGAGGAAGGUGGAAUUCCCGGUGUAGUGGUGAAAUGCGUAGAUAUCGGGAGGAACACCAGUGGCGAAAGCGGCCUUCUGGGAUGCAUCUGACGCUCAGACACGAAAGCUAGGGUAGCGAACGGG
rnacentral:rRNA from 1 species